AACGAACGCUGGCGGCAUGCCUAACACAUGCAAGUCGAACGAGACCUUCGGGUCUAGUGGCGCACGGGUGCGUAACGCGUGGGAACCUGCCCUUAGGUUCGGAAUAACUCCCCGACAGGGGUGCUAAUACCGGAUACUGUCUUCGGACCAAAGAUUUAUCGCCUUUGGAUGGGCCCGCGUUGGAUUAGCUAGUUGGUAGGGUAAAAGCCUACCAAGGCGACGAUCCAUAGCUGGUCUGAGAGGAUGAUCAGCCACACUGGGACUGAGACACGGCCCAGACUCCUACGGGAGGCAGCAGUGGGGAAUAUUGGACAAUGGGCGAAAGCCUGAUCCAGCAAUGCCGCGUGAGUGAUGAAGGCCUUAGGGUUGUAAAGCUCUUUUACCCGGGAUGAUAAUGACAGUACCGGGAGAAUAAGCCCCGGCUAACUCCGUG
rnacentral:rRNA from 1 species